AAAAAAUCUCAAAAUGUCCGUUAGCAAUGAAAAAGUUUGACCAUGAAAAAUCACAUAUCUAAGAAAUGCAGUCGUUUAAUUGAUUAUAAGAAAGUUUCAGUAUAUCAUGUCAAAUUUCUGUAAUUUGAGAGUUUUCCUUUAGUAACAAAUGUAGCUCCAUGUCCGAUGGUGAAAUAAAAAUGAAUGUCUCAGAAAGUGGUGAAUUAGUUUCCAUAAAUGACAGAUGAAUCGGGCCAAGCUUAGUAACUUACAGUAAACAGACUACUGUAACAUUGACGCACUCGUCGAACUGUUUAAAAAAUAUGUGUUUAUGACCAAAAAUUUAUAUACAACUUCAUUUAUAAAUUAAUCUGAAUUUCAUAGCGCGUCGUCACAAUAAUGAAAGUUAUAAAAACAAUCUAUAACCAGCA
rnacentral:lncRNA from 1 species